UGCCCGUGAGAAAUGCUGCGCUUUGGGCAUGAAACUGCUCUCCGUCAAAUCUGCUGCCAAACGCAAUUGCUUGGCCAGACUCACGAAGAGCUACAUUGUAUCCAGAAAUAAUAAUGACAUCUCCGAUGAGUUUUGGACCUCUGGCACCGAUCUGGACUGCAAGGGCAACUUCCGAUGGUGCUCGGUGGACAGGGCCUUUCUGAGGAGCGAAGUCCGUUGGGCCACUGUCAAACCAAAUGACAAAUUGGAGCGCUGCGUCACGAUUCAAAUGAGCGACAAGGAGACGAUCACAACUCUGCAAACGGCCGACUGCAGUGAAAACAGGCGAUACAUCUGUGAGGUGCGUCAAACUGCAACCACAGUGCGAUCUAUACAAAAUGAAUGUAUUGAUCUGAUUGGUCUUUCCGAUGAUGAAGUUGAUGCUCUCGACAAUAUAUAUAUGUACAAUU